rnacentral:lncRNA from 1 species
CUCAAAGUAACGAGAAGUUUGGGUCUCCAAGCUUGAGCACUGGAAGGAAGCGUCAAACUCAAAUGGCCUCGAAGAGACCUACGGUCAUGAACAGUCGACACGGCGACAAUCGAGAACCUUCAAACAAUGUCGGCAUCGAACAAGACAAAAGAUAAACAAAGUUUAAUAAACAACAACUCAAAGCAAGAAUAGACGAGGAAUCACAAACAACGCCGACGCCAAGCA